GGGGAAACGCCCGGUCCCAUUCCGAACCCGGAAGCUAAGACCCGCAGCGCCGAUGGUACUGCACCCGGGAGGGUGUGGGAGAGUAGGUC
rnacentral:rRNA from 1 species